rnacentral:rRNA from 2 species
CCGAACCGACUAAUGUUGAAAAAUUAGCGGAUGACCUGUGGCUGGGGGUGAAAGGCCAAUCAAACCGGGAGAUAGCUGGUUCUCCCCGAAAGCUAUUUAGGUAGCGCCUCGUGAAUUCAUCUCCGGGGGUAGAGCACUGUUUCGGCUAGGGGGCCAUCCCGGCUUACCAACCCGAUGCAAACUGCGAAUACCGGAGAAUGUUAUCACGGGAGACACACGGCGGGUGCUAACGUCCGUCGUGAAGAGGGAAACAACCCAGACCGCCAGCUAAGGUCCCAAAGUCAUGGUUAAGUGGGAAACGAUGUGGGAAGGCCCAGACAGCCAGGAUGUUGGCUUAGAAGCAGCCAUCAUUUAAAGAAAGCGUAAUAGCUCACUGGUCGAGUCGGCCUGCGCGGAAGAUGUAACGGGGCUAAACCAUGCACCGAA